rnacentral:rRNA from 1 species
CCUACGGGUGGCUGCAGUGGGGAAUAUUGCACAAUGGGGGAAACCCUGAUGCAGCAACGCCGCGUGAAGGAAGACGGUUUUCGGAUUGUAAACUUCUGUUCUUAGUGACGAACAAUGACGGUAGCUAAGGAGCAAACCACGGCUAACUACGUGCCAGCCGCCGCGGUAAUUCGUAGGUGGCCAGCGUUUUCCGGAAUUACUGGGUGUAAAGGGAGCGCAGGCGGGAAGCCAAGUCAGGUGUGAAAACUACGGGCUUAACUUGUAGACUGCAGUUGAAACUGGUUUUCUUGAGUGAAGUAGAGGUUGUCGGAAUUCCGAGUGUAGCGGUGAAAUGCGUAGAUAUUCGGAGGAACACCAGUGGCGAAGGCGGCCAACUGGGCUUUAACUGACGCUGAGGCUCGAAAGUGUGGGGAGCAAACAGGAUUAGAUACCCUUGUAGUC